rnacentral:rRNA from 1 species
ACGGAGGAGCACGAAGGUUGGCUAAUCCUGGUCGGACAUCAGGAGGUUAGUGCAAUGGCAUAAGCCAGCUUGACUGCGAGCGUGACGGCGCGAGCAGGUGCGAAAGCAGGUCAUAGUGAUCCGGUGGCUCUGAAUGGAAGGGCCAUCGCUCAACGGAUAAAAGGUACUCCGGGGAUAACAGGCUGAUACCGCCCAAGAGUUCAUAUCGACGGCGGUGUUUGGCACCUCGAUGUCGGCUCAUCACAUCCUGGGGCU